AAAAUUGGGGGGGUAGAGCAAGCUAAGCAGAGAGAUAGAAAUUCUAGAAAGGAAGAGAUGCCAGAGAACAAAAACACUGUAGUGGAAAUAGAGAAUGCUUUUGACAGACUUGUUAGUACACUUCAUCUGGUUGAGGAAAGAAUCUCUGAGCUUAAAGAUAUC